rnacentral:lncRNA from 1 species
GCCAAUUGAGCAUUGGGACAUCCUGUUGAGGUUUAUUUGUUGGUGCUUAUGGUGCCGAGGAAACAACCGAAUUUUUAAUAUGGGGCUAUCUGACUGGGAAUCGGUGGACAAAAAGCAUGAGAAUGUGCAAUGAAUUUAUUAAAGCCCUUCAGCACAAACAGGAAUUAUGCUAUAAGGCAUGUGAGAAGGGAGUGCAGGUAGAUAGGGUGGAGCUAGCCGCCUGAGGAUUGGUUAAAGGUAAACACUGAUGGAGCAAGGAAGACGAAUACGGG